GCACGCUUUUCCGCAUUGUCAAGAAUCAAUCAGCUAAGGAUAUUUUGUACAGAAAAGUCUUUAUUUUUUAAGAACUGGUUAAAUAAUCAUAUCCUGCUGAAUGAUCCAGAAGUAUUAUCCUGCGAAUCACUACCUGAAGAAACUCCAAAAAGACAUUAACAUUGACUGUACCUCUUGUGUAGAGCAUCCAUAAACAGUUUCGCAUUGUCUACAUGUACAAAAAAAAUAUGUUUUUUAUGGGAGAAUGUGCUGCUCGGUUUCCUUAACCAUAAGGAAAACAAUUUAACCUCAAAUCGAAUUGUGCUAAUGGAAAAUUGCAUAUUCAUAAAUGUAAAUUCACUAAUAAAAAAAACCCUUUUCUAUAAGGAAUUCAAGCAGUACAUUAAGACCAGUCUACAUUAUUCUAAUAAGAAAGCUGUUAAAACAAUCAAUGUGUGUUUCUUUUAAGGUAAUCUGUCAUUUGUUGUACCCCCUAGCACAUGUUAUCAUUGUCUAUUUGUAUACUUCUUGUAUGUAUACUGGUUUUUCUACAUUAAUAUUUUUUAUUUUUAAAUCAGCUGUUGCACGAAUAAGUCACAAACAGCCUCCAGUUUUUUAAUCGACCAUUUUGCAAUGUGCUUUUAUUGUUUCAAUCAUCCAACGUUUCUACAUCAAUCCAACAUCCAGACUCCACAAAAUUAUAUAGGUAAAAAUUAAGUCACAAUUCAGGAACUGUAUGCUUACUAAAUACAGCACUUGGCAUAUGAAAGCCAUUUUACAGAAAUUGACUAAUUGGAAAUAUUAGGGAUGUGUAUUGUGGUUAAAUUCAGCAGCGAAAAGGCAUUGAGCUGGUUUCAUGUUUUCAAGUCUUGUCAGAAAAAUAAUGAAUCAGGUGUAGUUCACGUGUAUUGCUGUUAUGUGACCCUUCCAUCAGUUUGACUAAUAACAUCUCUGCACUUCAAAUGGUUCUCUGUCAACCUGAGAAUACAGUAUUAGGAAGAUAUUAGGAAAUAACAAAUACUAAAUGACUAGGGAAAAUUAAACUCUAAUAGGUAUAUUUCUUCAAAAUGUUAAAUUAAUUCUGCUUCAAGAUUAAUUAGGGGAAAGUAUUUUAUGCAAAUAGUUGAAGAUCUUGUUUAAGUUUAAUCAAUUAACUUGACAAUUUCUAUUUUGUUAUAGCACUCAUAACACUUUACUGUGUUGACGACGAGAUUGGAUUUGGCUUCCACCACCAGGAAAUACACAAGAUAUCAUGCAGGACAAGUCAGCCCAAGCUAACUAUACCACCAUUGUCAGGUAACACCAAAAUUGGGCUUCCAUGAUAAAGGAGAACCCUCGUUUUAGAAUAUUCAACCUUUGUUACUACUUCUUUACUUUCUUCAACCUUCCUAUUCUGUGUGGAAAUUAGAAUUUCUGAAUGUCAUGGAGUUUGGAACUUUCCUCUUGUGGAGGUUCUGUAGCUUAGAAAAUGGUGCAGGGUAAGUGUCAGGCAAAAGACAACUCAACUAGGGAAUGGAACAUCCAGACUAGAAAAACACGAUAAGACCGAAGAAGAAAAAAAAAAAAAGGG